CUACGUGCCAGCAGCCGCGGUAAUACAUAGGUCGCAAGCGUUAUCCGGAAUUAUUGGGCGUAAAGCGUUCGUAGGCUGUUUAUUAAGUCUGGAGUCAAAUCCCAGGGCUCAACCCUGGCUCGCUUUGGAUACUGGUAAACUAGAGUUGGAUAGAGGUAAGCGGAAUUCCAUGUGAAGCGGUGAAAUGCGUAGAUAUAUGGAAGAACACCAAAGGCGAAGGCAGCUUACUGGGUCUAUACUGACGCUGAGGGACGAAAGCGUGGGGAGCAAACAGGAUUAGAUACCCUGGUAGUCCACGCCGUAAACGAUGAUCAUUAGUCGGUGGAAGCCACUGACGCAGCUAACGCAUUAAAUGAUCCGCCUGAGUAGUAUGCUCGCAAGAGUGAAACUUAAAGGAAUUGACGGGGACCCGCACAAGCGGUGGAGCAUGUGGUUUAAUUUGAAGAUACGCGGAGAACCUUACCCACUCUUGACAUCCUUUGCAAAGCUAUAGAGAUA
rnacentral:rRNA from 1 species